rnacentral:rRNA from 2 species
AAAAAGCGGAGGAAAAGAAACCAACAGGGAUUGCCUUAGUAACGGCGAGUGAAGCGGCAAAAGCUCAAAUUUGAAAGCCUCGGCAUUGUAAUUUCAAGACUCUAAGAAAAUAAACGUUCACAAGUCCAUUGGAAAAUGGCGCCUCAGAGGGUGACAGCCCCGUAGAACAAAAAUCUCUUAGGGCCAAAGAGUCGAGUUGUUUGGGAAUGCAGCUCUAAUGGUGGUAAAUUCCAUCAAAAGCUAAAUACUGGCGAGAGACCGAUAGCGAACAAGUACAGUGAUGGAAAGAUGAAAAGCACUUUGAAAAGAGAGUGAAACAGUACGUGAAAUUGUUGGAAGGGAAGGGCUUGCAAGCAGACACGGUUCGUCCGGGCCAGCAUCAGUUGCAGGGGUGUCACAAAACGUCAAGAAUGUAAGCUUCGGUGGUUAUAGCUUGGCGCAAUGGCACCUCCCGCGACUGAGGCCUGCAUUCCUUAGGAUGCUGGCGUAAUGGUUGCAAGUCGCCCGUCUUGAACCACGGACCA